AAAGGACGUGAAAACUAUAUGAAAGGACGUGAAAACUAUAUGAAAGGACGUGAAAACUAUAUGAAAGGACGUGAAAACUAUAUGAAAGGACGU
rnacentral:sRNA from 1 species